GCGACGAGAGAGACGUCGAUGCGGCCUUUCUCUGCAUUGCUUCGCGCUGCUUCUGUCUAUAUCAGGGCGGCAGCAGCUGAGGCAGUUCACAAAGUGACGUGUCGUCCCCCUUCGCCCUCCAUCGCAGUGCGGGGGACGUUGUCGGGCCGUCCCGUCCGGCAUGUGAUGUCGCAUGAACUACAUCGGUAUUUCCCCAAAGAGGAAGGGAUGAUGCAACACAACUACGGUAGGUAUUUCCCUCAGUUAUGAAAUCAAGGUAUCAAUUCAGUAGGAGAACCAAGCAACACUAUGUAAAUGGUAUCUGCACACAAAGAACAAAUACUUGCAACCUGACACUUAUGAGGGGUUGUCAAUCCCUCUAUGGGCAACGCAACCAGAAAUAGUCAAGUUGGCGGGAUCAAAUUUGUGUAGAUUGGAUAAAUAGAUAUCGAAAAAACGCGAAAUAAAAUCUCUACUACCUAAAAGAACUGUAAGGUUCGGUUUACCCUCUUACGUCUUACCUCUUCCGUCCACCUCCCCUUCCAACGUGCCCCUCGCCCUCACCUCAUCAAUUUAGGCAUGUUUGCUCCCAUAUCAAUUUGUUUCCCCAGUAAUCAAUCUUUCCCGUAGCCCUCUCGUCUAUCUCCUUAAUUGCCACAGAAAUCACUGGCUCUCCUUCCCCUAAUCCCUCCUCCCUGCUUCCAUCCUCCCUACUUAGCGAGCAACAAUGUGCUGAGGACCAGGACAUUUGGGCCAUGCAUUGGGAUCAAGUCCGAUUGCCGCUUCAUGCCACAAGUGACCAACGCACAACAGGUGGCUUGGCUAGGAGCUCGGCAUCCGGGGUACUCUCGAAGCAGAUCGACAACAGCCUGAUACGCUCGGUGUACCUAUAUCAGAUGGCGAGGUGGCUACUACGGAUGUUCAAGGGAGCAUUGCCUAGCAACAGGGGCCGCGACCACUGCUCCUUCAGCCCCACCAAAGAAGAGCAUGUGACACCAUGGCUGUGCUGGUGGCGUCCGCCACCAUACAUGCAUGGAGAUGAGGAGGCGAAUCGGGUUGUGGAGGGCGUGCGCCUACGAGCUCAUCGUCGGGAGGAGGAAUUCAAUGGGGUGUCAUCUAUAAAGAAGGCACGGCUUGGGGAUCCGCAGAUGUCGCUUUGGACAAGACGGUGUUAUACAGUGGGCCAGGUUGCUACCUUGUAACAUCCGGGGGUCUUCCAUCAGUGCGCGGAUGCAGAAAGUGAGAAUUCAGUACUCAUGUGCCUCUCCUAACUUCUGAAGAGCAUGAUUUUAUUGUCUAUAUGCCCCCAUAUAAGCAAAGGCACUCAUGUUCACAUGGCUUUUUCUAGGUUUUUUAUACAGAUUACAUAAACUAACUGAGCAACAUUGUUCAUUGUAUCUGCUUCCUGUAAUAAUGUCACCACAUAUUCUGGAGCAUGCAACACUUCCGGAAGAGAGUUGAGCACUCCCACACGAGAAUGAAAUGGAACACAUUUUCUCAGUGUA